rnacentral:rRNA from 1 species
GAUGAACGCUAGCGGCAGGCCUAAUACAUGCAAGUCGAACGGGAUCCAGAUCAAAGCUUGCUUUGGUCUGGUGAGAGUGGCGCACGGGUGCGUAACGCGUGAGCAACCUACCCUUGUCAGGGGGAUAGCCCGGCGAAAGUCGGAUUAAUACCGCAUGACAUCAUUGAGAGGCAUCUUUCGAUGAUCAAAGAUUUAUCGGACAAGGAUGGGCUCGCGUGACAUUAGCUAGUUGGUAAGGUAACGGCUUACCAAGGCUGCGAUGUCUAGGGGCUCUGAGAGGAGAAUCCCCCACACUGGUACUGAGACACGGACCAGACUCCUACGGGAGGCAGCAGUAAGGAAUAUUGGGCAAUGGACGGAAGUCUGAACCAGCCAUGCCGCGUGCAGGAAGACGGCCCUAUGGGUUGUAAACUGCUUUUAUACGGGAACAAACGUCGGUACGUGUACCGGUCUGAGUGUACCGUAAGAAUAAGGAGCGGCUAACUCCGUG